CCUACGUGCGGCAGCAGUGAGGAAUAUUGGUCAAUGGCCGAGAGUCUGAACCAGCCAAGCCGCGUGAGGGAAGACGGCCCUAUGGGUUGUAAACCGCUUUUGUCGGAGAGCAAACACAGAUACGCGUCCCGCUCCGAGAGUAUCCUGAGAAAAAGCAUCGGCUAACUCCGUGCCAGCAGCCGCGGUAAUACGGAGGAUUCAAGCGUUAUCCGGAUUUAUUGGGUUUAAAGGGUGCGUAGGCGGUAGGGUAAGUUAGCGGUGAAAUUCAGAGGCUCAACUUCGUACGUGCCUUUGAAACUGGUCGGCUAGAGAGGAGUUGCGGUAGGCGGAAUGUAUGGUGUAGCGGUGAAAUGCUGAGAGAUCGUGCAGAACUCCGAUUGCGAAGGCAGCAUGCC
rnacentral:rRNA from 1 species